GAAGGCCUCAAACUGUCAGAAGGCAAACUGUCAGUGCAGUUUACAAUUUAAAAAGACAAGGCUCGUGUGCGUGUCGUGCGUGAUGCGGCAUUCCUGGAAAUGGUGUUUGUGUGUGACCUUAGUAAUGCAAGUGUAAUCCGUGAACUUUGAGUGCAAGAGAACAUACCCAGACAGAAUAUGAACUACGAGAUGGUCAUGUCACUCAUGUGUUGGUAAAAGUGUAUCAACUUGUCGUUCGCCCUGUCAGGGGUGUUUUCCUGGAGUGACGGUGUAGCCUAACGAAGAAUGGAACAUCGAAGCGAAAGGCAAACUACUGAUGUAGUCCACCACAAUCCACAGGCACGGUGACGAAGGUGCUGCCGGAUAGGAGGGAGGCAGUGAGAAGAGGUCCUUUGAGCACGUUUGUAUAGCCAGGGUCCCGAAGAACUGCCCGGGGGAGACACACAUGUGAAGACACCAAAUGGACCGAGCAGGGUGAGACUGCCAUCCUACCCAGCCUUCACUCUCGGCAAGCCCUUCGCCACGCCGCCCUCUCCUGUGAUAGCGGCACGCGGCCGGAGGAGCCUGGCCGCUUUGAUCCCCGCCUAGCAACUCUGGGCAGGAAAACAACGUCGAGGCAAGCAUUAUUGAAAUUUCCCCUAACGUGAGCGAUCCUUUGAGAGGGAAAAAGCUGAUUAUGGUAAGGACGCGCUCCACAAUAUUUUUUGUAACAUUGUUUCGGCGACACGCUACACUCUUCAAAGCAAUGGGAGGUGUGGCCGUAAUGGGAUUAGUAAGGUGAUGUUGAAAAUUCAGUUUGUGCUUCUCUUCUAAACAUGACGUAAUUUCUUGCUGCUGUUUCUUUUUUAUUAGAGUUUCGGUGAUGUGGUUCCUUCAAAGAAAUGGCAGGUGAGGGUCCAGGGGAAUAAAUGAGGUAUUAUCGAGGAUCAAACUUGGAUUUCCCUGAAAGAUACGCCCCAAGUUAUCGUUUAUUUAAUCAGAACAUGCUGGUGCACAAAUUUUGCACUGCUGUAA